UACGGAGGGGGCUAGCGUUGUUCGGAAUUACUGGGCGUAAAGCGCACGUAGGCGGCUUUGUAAGUUAGAGGUGAAAGCCCGGGGCUCAACUCCGGAAUAGCCUUUAAGACUGCAUCGCUUGAAUCCGGGAGAGGUGAGUGGAAUUCCGAGUGUAGAGGUGAAAUUCGUAGAUAUUCGGAAGAACACCAGUGGCGAAGGCGGCUCACUGGACCGGUAUUGACGCUGAGGUGCGAAAGCGUGGGGAGCAAACAGG
rnacentral:rRNA from 1 species